AUUGAACGCUGGCGGCAGGCCUAACACAUGCAAGUCGAGCGGAAACGAUGGAAGCUUGCUUCCAGGCGUCGAGCGGCGGACGGGUGAGUAAUGCAUAGGAAUCUGCCCGAUAGUGGGGGAUAACCUGGGGAAACCCAGGCUAAUACCGCAUACGUCCUACGGGAGAAAGCAGGGGAUCUUCGGACCUUGCGCUAUCGGAUGAGCCUAUGUCGGAUUAGCUAGUUGGUGAGGUAAUGGCUCACCAAGGCUGCGAUCCGUAGCUGGUCUGAGAGGAUGAUCAGCCACAUCGGGACUGAGACACGGCCCGAACUCCUACGGGAGGCAGCAGUGGGGAAUAUUGGACAAUGGGCGAAAGCCUGAUCCAGCCAUGCCGCGUGUGUGAAGAAGGCUUUCGGGUUGUAAAGCACUUUCAGUGGGGAAGAAAUCCUCGGGGCCAAUACCCUCGAGGGAGGACAUCACCCACAGAAGAAGCACCGGCUAACUCCGUGCCAGCAGCCGCGGUAAUACGGAGGGUGCGAGCGUUAAUCGGAAUUACUGGGCGUAAAGCGCGCGUAGGCGGCGUGAUAAGCCGGUUGUGAAAGCCCCGGGCUCAACCUGGGAACGGCAUCCGGAACUGUCAGGCUAGAGUGCAGGAGAGGAAGGUAGAAUUCCCGGUGUAGCGGUGAAAUGCGUAGAGAUCGGGAGGAAUACCAGUGGCGAAGGCGGCCUUCUGGACUGACACUGACGCUGAGGUGCGAAAGCGUGGGUAGCAAACAGGAUUAGAUACCCUGGUAGUCCACGCCGUAAACGAUGUCGACUAGCCGUUGGGGUCCUUGUGACCUUUGUGGCGCAGUUAACGCGAUAAGUCGACCGCCUGGGGAGUACGGCCGCAAGGUUAAAACUCAAAUGAAUUGACGGGGGCCCGCACAAGCGGUGGAGCAUGUGGUUUAAUUCGAUGCAACGCGAAGAACCUUACCUACUCUUGACAUCGUGCGAACUUUCCAGAGAUGGAUUGGUGCCUUCGGGAACGCACAGACAGGUGCUGCAUGGCCGUCGUCAGCUCGUGUUGUGAAAUGUUGGGUUAAGUCCCGUAACGAGCGCAACCCUUGUCCCUAUUUGCCAGCGAUUCGGUCGGGAACUCUAGGGAGACUGCCGGUGACAAACCGGAGGAAGGUGGGGACGACGUCAGGUCAUCAUGGCCCUUACGAGUAGGGCUACACACGUGCUACAAUGGCCGGUACAAAGGGUUGCGAAGCCGCGAGGUGGAGCUAAUCCCGAAAAGCCGGUCUCAGUCCGGAUCGGAGUCUGCAACUCGACUCCGUGAAGUCGGAAUCGCUAGUAAUCGUGAAUCAGAAUGUCACGGUGAAUACGUUCCCGGGCCUUGUACACACCGCCCGUCACACCAUGGGAGUGGACUGCACCAGAAGUGGUUAGCCUAACUUCGGAGGGCGAUCACCACGGUGUGGUUCAUGACUGGGGUGAAGUCGUAACAAGGUAGCCGUAGGGGAACCUGC
rnacentral:rRNA from 1 species